CAUUAAGCCUCUAAAACAUCUCUAGAAUCUGUCUACUCUUCUCCAUCCCUAAGAGCACGGUGUUCGUGUGAGACAUCGGGAGAGCACACG